rnacentral:rRNA from 1 species
GAUGAACGCUGGCGGCGUGCCUAAUACAUGCAAGUCGAGCGAACAGAUGAGGAGCUUGCUCCUCUGACGUUAGCGGCGGACGGGUGAGUAACACGUGGAUAACCUACCUAUAAGACUGGGAUAACUUCGGGAAACCGGAGCUAAUACCGGAUAAUAUAUUGAACCGCAUGGUUCAAUAGUGAAAGACGGUUUUGCUGUCACUUAUAGAUGGAUCCGCGCCGCAUUAGCUAGUUGGUAAGGUAACGGCUUACCAAGGCAACGAUGCGUAGCCGACCUGAGAGGGUGAUCGGCCAAACUGGAACUGAGACACGGUCCAGACUCCUACGGGAGGCAGCAGUAGGGAAUCUUCCGAAAUGGGCGAAAGCCUGACGGAGCAACGCCGCGUGAGUGAUGAAGGUCUUCGGAUCGUAAAACUCUGUUAUUAGGGAAGAACAAAUGUGUAAGUAACUAUGCACGUAUUGACGGUACCUAAUCAGAAAGCCACGGCUAACUACGUG